AGUUGCGGAAGGAUCUAAAUGUGGGUGUAGAUGGUGAACUAGUGAACUAGUGAAGUCAAAGUUUAUCAAGUGAUUGCCCUAAGAUUGAAUAUUGAAUGGCAGGGUCAACAAGAUUUCACGUUCAGAAAUCAGAGGAGGAAUGGAGGGCCAUUCUCUGUCUGUCUCUAUCUGUCUCCCUCAUGAAUUCACAGACAGUAGAGAGAGGGCAAGGAACAGAGGAAUAGCCAAAGCACCAGGGAGCAAAAACAGGAGUGUUCUUCAAGUUUUUGGCUCUUCAUCAACCAUAGCACCAAGAGAAAGAGAAUGAUGGCCAAGGAGGGAGCUGACUGAAGCUUAAGAGGGAGCUGCGUUCCACUCACCCAACUAUUCUUCGAGUUUCUUUGCUAGUUUAUUCAAUUUCUGUUAACACAACUACCACCACAAGCAAAGAGAGGUUUGGGCUCAAGAGAAAAACAAGGACAAGUCUUGUGUAUUUGAUCAACAAAGAGGUAAGGGUUAGAAUAGUUAGAUAUUGAUUUUAGUUGUAUUUGGUGAUUAAAUGGCAGAAACCUUUCCAUUGAGUAUGCUUAUUGACCAGUCAGCUGCUUGAUUCUUGGAUCUGUAUGUGAAUGAUUGUUGCUUUCUUAAUCAGCACAGUUUACUUUGUAGUGGUAAAUGGUAAUGUUCUAAUAAACAAAAAUCAAGUACUAAUGGGGACUAUUAUUCAUUUGUCUAGAGUAGUUUACUGAUUUCAUGUUAAUUAUUUUUGUUUCAUGUGGAUUAUAUAUGCUGCAGUAUUUUCGUGGCUCAUUGCAAUUUGUCAACUAUUGUAAUAACCAAUUAGAUUGGAAGAUGGUGCAUCAUUAGAAUUCCUAGGUUUAAAUAAAGGAAGGCAUUCAGUUACACAAUGAGAAAUCACAUACUAAAUGUGAUAUCCCUUGAUGAUCCGUUUUAGUCGUUUCAGGAUACUUUCUUGAGCUAAUUCAUUCUAAAUGUGGUGGUUAGAGUAGUCUUUUUAACAUGGUAUUUUUAAAUUCAAUAUUCUAACUUAAAAAAAUUGCUCUGCUUCAUUAGUGCUUCUGAUCACUCUUGCUGGUUUCAUUAGUGAAUUUAGUUUAUUAUGCAUAUUAUUUUUUAUUAUAAGGCAUAUUAUUAGUGCUUUUGAUUACUCUUGCUUAUUUAAUUUUUAUUAGUGCUUCUGAUCACUUUUGAUUUCGAAGGAUAUGUGUGUGUGUGUGUGUGUGGCUUUUGAUUUUAGGCAAGGUUGGAGUUUCUCGGCAAUUGUUUGUAACAAAAAAUCCAUCUACUAUCCCUUAUGAAAUCACUAAGGCUGGGAUGAAGUUACCAUUAGGCACCUAUCUUUAUUUUCUCAUUGAGGUCUGUACUUUCUUUUGAUUAGGGUGAUGAUUAUUUAGAACGUGAUAUGUUUUAUUAACUGAGAUAUAUGUAGCAUUUCAGAAACAAGCCAAUCAACCAGGGUAAACAGAAUCUAUACAUAGACAUUUUUUUAUUGCUGUUAUGCUCCCAUAUAAUUCUCAUAUAGUUUUUUUUAUUAUGGUUAUGAAAUCUGGGUUCUAAUUUUCUGGUCUUCUGAAGGAUAUGUGUGUGUGUGUGGCUUUUUUCCCU